UUUGGUUGGGUGGUUGGAAAGUGGCUCGGCUCGGCGGCGGUGGUUCCCUCUCUUUUCGAGUUCGAGUUCUUCCUCGCGUUCCGCGCAAAACGUGAACGAGAUUUCGACGUUUCUUUCUAAGGAUUUUCAAUGGAUUAUUGGAAAAUUUCAUAGAGGAGGAGGAUAGAGUGGUUCGUGAUUUUGCAAUUGUACAGACGCCGCACUUUUCACGUCGAACAAAUUCAGUGGCAAUUAUACGAUACGACUAUUGCGCGCAAUUUGAUAAAUCGCGACAGCAGCUAAUCUGAGUUGAGCCUCGUACGAGUCAUGAACGAUAGCCUGAUAAAGAUAGGAAAGUUCCGUUCUUCCGAAAUUAACUGAAACUCUAAACAAAGUCUGAAACAAUCCCGAACAAAAGUGAAACUCUAAACAAAGUCUGAAACUAUCUCGGACAAAAGUGGAGGAAGAAGAGGUUCGAAGGAAUACCAAACGAAGUGAAUAAACGAUUUUACCAUUUCUAGUAUCGGUCGACGGGAGUAUUAUAACGAGUGAUUUAUUUCGUACUUUCUACUCCAUUCCCGAACGAAAGUGCGAAGCUACGAGACGAGGCUCUUCUCCAUCGAUAUCCGUCGUGAAAUACCUUCGUCGAAAAGAGGGGAAAAUGUGGGGAGGAUCGGAAACAACUACGUUAAAAACGAGCGCAACGCCGAAGGAAUUGCUCGGCGGAGUCGUCGAAAAGAGGGGUCCCGCGGAGCGGAGAGGCGGCAAUAAAAAAGGCCCCCGGGGUCUGAUCGCGCGGUCCGCCGCGGCCAUUGUGCAGGAGCCACGUCCAGGUGCUACUGGUAGCGCAAGAUUAAGCUGUGGACGAAGCCUAAAAUCGAGGGCCCGCAGAAAGGCACCGCGAGCAGUUCUCUCGAAUAAUGGGCAUAGGACGAACCCGAGAAGAAUCGUGGACUAAAGCCGCACCUUGUGCUGGCCACGAUGCAAAUUUCCUUCCAUUAGACAUCGUGAAAUCAUCAUUCUCCAUGCCUGCAGAGUAUACAGAGUUGUGAAAAAAUUAAGAACAAAGAUACACAUUCAUCGAGGCGAUUGGUUGAUCGCCCGCCGAUCCCCAACCCCUGUUCGAGACCUCGGCGUUUACGGCGUUUCGGGGCACAAGCCGUUCAAUUUCCGCGGCGGACCAUAAAACCCGCGCCGCGAGACGUGGCGGACGGUAGUGUAUAUUGGCGUGCAUUUAGCUCGUCGCGCGCGCCGCUGACAGAAGAGGGAUUUGCCUUCGCCGCUUUACUGGAUUUACCGAGACACCUCGUGAAACACGCCCAUGUUUGACUUUAGCUUUUGAAGCGACGCCGAAAUUUUCACAGAAACCCACCGCCUUCGCGCUAGACAAGGAGAAAGAGAGAGAGGGAGGGAGGGAGAGAGAUGUACAGCCCCGGGGAACGAUACAGAACUUAUCACGACGCGUAGAACGAUGUGUCGACAACGGAGAGAAUAGAUUGUUUGUCGAUUUUUAGUCACCUCGCGCGCUAUAAAGCUGCCUCGCUCGUAAAUGCCUUGCCUUUGCGGGGCCUUGUUUCGUUGUCGUGCGAUCACGUUGGACGUGAACGAAUCAUCUGUCGAAAGUAGACUCUUUGAUUAUUUUUUUUUUUUUGUAUAUAAGUAUACAAAGAUUAAUAUGAGGAUGAAAUAACAUGAUGAUUUCUAAUUAAUAUGAUCUCUCUGUCUUUUUUAAAUCGUCGUGAUGUUAAUAUUGAUGUUAAUUUUUCUUAGAUUUAAUUAGAUUAUAAAAUCAUUUUGUUAAAGCGAAGCAAAAUAUGUGCUUCGUUUUGUUAUUUGGUUCUUAAGUGAUUAGUAAUUGGUAUAAAAUAAUGUAUAAUAUUGUUUGAUUUAGUAGUAAUAAUUAUAGCUUCAAAACGAUUGUUAUUUUUGAUAUUUAUUAUGUAAUUCGUAUAAUUCGAUAAUAAGAAUGAUGAAUUUAGAAAAAUAAGAAAGAGAUGUAUAUUUAUGUCAUAAUAGCGUUGUUACCUAAUUUCAAAUCGAUAAUGUAAUAGAAAAUUUAAUUACAAUUCCUUUCGUCCCAGUAAUACUGUUUUAAUUUAAUUUUAAAUCGAUAGUGUCGUAAUAUUUAAUCAGAAUAGAAAAACUUACCAGAGUAGAAUGUACGUACAAAUGAUGUAUAGAAUAAACGAACAAUGCAUUUUGAUGACCUAAAAAUUUGGAGAUUAUCUCAUUUUAUUAUUUUUGUAUUAAUGAUUACUAAAAUUUAAGUUUACUGAUUGAUUUUAAUGCUAUUUAUCAAUAAUUGAUACCAAUCAGAUAAAUAAUAUAAAUCGAAUAUGAAACUAUAAGGCAAGUAAUGUAGAAUAACUAUAUUAUCAUAUAGUAGUAUAUAUCAACAAUUUUUGUAUCCUAUAAAAUUAUAAAAAUUGUCAAAAAAUAUUCGA